rnacentral:rRNA from 1 species
AGAUUGAACGCUGGCGGCAUGCUUUACACAUGCAAGUCGAACGGCAGCGCGGGGCAACCUGGCGGCGAGUGGCGAACGGGUGAGUAAUAUAUCGGAACGUACCCAAGAGUGGGGGAUAACGUAGCGAAAGUUACGCUAAUACCGCAUACGAUCUAAGGAUGAAAGCAGGGGACCGCAAGGCCUUGUGCUCCUGGAGCGGCCGAUAUCUGAUUAGCUAGUUGGUAGGGUAAAGGCCUACCAAGGCUACGAUCAGUAGCUGGUCUGAGAGGACGACCAGCCACACUGGAACUGAGACACGGUCCAGACUCCUACGGGAGGCAGCAGUGGGGAAUUUUGGACAAUGGGCGCAAGCCUGAUCCAGCAAUGCCGCGUGAGUGAAGAAGGCCUCGGUUGUAAGACUCUUUGUUCUAGGAAGGAAACGGUAGGGCGUAAGUAAUACCUCCACUAACUAGACGGUAACCGUAGUAAGAAUAAAGACACCGGCUAACUACGUGUCAGCAGCCGCGGUAACG